ACGUAGGUGGCGAGCGUUGUCCGGAGUUACUGGGCGUAAAGGGUGCGUAGGCGGCUAUGCGAGUUAAGCGUGAAAGCCUUGGGCUCAACCUGAGGAUUGCGCUUAAUACUGUAUAGCUUGAGUGCAGGAGAGGGCGGCGGAAUUUCCGGUGUAGCGGUGAAAUGCGUAGAUAUUGGGAGGAACACCAGUGGCGAAGGCGGCCGUCUGGACUGUAACUGACGCUGAGGCACGAGAGCGUGGGGAGCGAACAG
rnacentral:rRNA from 1 species